UCCAAACCCAAUGUGAUAGCAACUAGUUAUCACCAUGUGAUCGAGCAAAAUGUGUGUGACACAUCUAGAUGGAAGAGUCUCAAGUACAGACUGGGGAUGCUAGGUGCUGCACCCCUACAAAGAAGGAAACUGAGGAGCAACACUUGAGGAUCAGGGCAACUUCAAGACUCCAAGGAAACUGGGUAGGCCCAGAGCAAAGGGCAUCUCUGCGCAGAGAGGAUCUUGACCUGCAAAGGAGCGAAAGUCCACCGAAACACAGAUAAUCCUUUAUGAUCCACUGGUGUUGGCUUCUUUUUCUUCUUGACUUUGUGCCUGUGGUGAUCUGAAGUUGACAUUGUUUGGCUGUCUCGUGUUUUGCAUGGCGAAAGGUGGCGGCACUAAGAACAAGGCGCGCGAUUUCCCUGAGGCCCAUUCACAUUAUGAGGCUGAAAGCUCCUCCAGAAUUGGCAGCGCAGCUAAAAUCUAAUCAGGUGCUUGUGCGCAACAGACCCAGAAGCAAUUGCAAUCAAGCCAAUUGCUGCAUCUGAUUACACAUGAAAACCCUCGUGCCACUAAGUGUUUUGCAGUCCUUAAUAAAAUGUGCCUGUCUUAGCUCAAAUUG